UACGGAGGGUGCCAGCGUUAUCCGGAUUCACUGGGUUUAAAGGGUGCGUAGGCGGAUAGGUAAGUCCGUGGUGAAAUCCUGCAGCUUAACUGCAGAACUGCCAUGGAUACUAUCUAUCUUGAAUGUCGUGGAGGUUAGCGGAAUAUGUCAUGUAGCGGUGAAAUGCUUAGAGAUGACAUAGAACACCCAUUGCGAAGGCAGCUAACUACGCGAUAAUUGACGCUGAUGCACGAAGGCGUGGGGAUCAAACAGG
rnacentral:rRNA from 1 species